UACGUAGGGGGCGAGCGUUGUCCGGAUUUAUUGGGCGUAAAGAGCUCGUAGGCGGUUUGGUAAGUCGGGUGUGAAAUCUCGGAGCUUAACUCCGAAACUGCAUUCGAUACUGCCGUGCUUGAGGACUGGAGAGGAGACUGGAAUUUACGGUGUAGCGGUGAAAUGCGUAGAUAUCGUAAGGAAGACCAGUGGCGAAGGCGGGUCUCUGGACAGUUCCUGACGCUGAGGCACGAAGGUCAGGGGAGCAAACGGG
rnacentral:rRNA from 1 species